CUACCUGUUAUACUAUUUCGAUUUGUCUAUACAAACUGGAACAUGCUAAAGGGGGACAGCAGGGGUCUGCAUAUCAAAGAUCUAGCAUUUUUGAAUGCUUGCUGCAAAGAGGGACCGCAGAAGAUAAUCUCUUAAUCCCCGACAUUCUUGUUUAUCUAGAUGGGAAGUCCAAUUUCUAUUGCUUCAGAAUGGUCGGCUGCUCAUACUAUUGAACUUGUCAGUGAUAAUUUGAUAAUUAUAAUUGUCUGAUUGAACAGCAGAAAUGUGCAAUUAUAUAAAGCACACAUUAACAAUUUUUGGGCAAGUCCCAACUCGUCAAUUUCAAACAAUGAAUAGAGUUUUUUUUUGC
rnacentral:misc_RNA from 1 species